UACGGAGGGGGCUAGCGUUGUUCGGAAUUACUGGGCGUAAAGCGCACGUAGGCGGAUCAGCAAGUUAGGGGUGAAAUCCCGGGGCUCAACCCCGGAACUGCCUUUAAGACUGUUGGUCUGGAGUCCGAGAGAGGUGAGUGGAAUUCCGAGUGUAGAGGUGAAAUUCGUAGAUAUUCGGAGGAACACCAGUGGCGAAGGCGGCUCACUGGCUCGGUACUGACGCUGAGGUGCGAAAGCGUGGGGAGCGAACCGG
rnacentral:rRNA from 1 species